CGGCUUCGGCUGGCGAGUACAGCGGCGGACGGGUGAGUAACACGUGGGUAACCUGCCUAGGUGCGGGGGACAACUUGGGGAAACUCGGGCUAAUACCGCAUACGCUCCCAGGACUGCGGUCCGGGGAGGAAAGCUGGCCUCUUCUUGAAAGCUAGCGCACCUAGAGGGACCCGCGCUCGAUUAGCUCGUUGGUGGGGUAACGGCCUACCAAGGCGACGAUCGAUAGCCGGCCUGAGAGGGUGAUCGGCCACACUGGGACUGAGACACGGCCCAGACUCCUACGGGAGGCAGCAGUGGGAAUAUUGGACAAUGGGCGCAAGCCUGAUCCAGCAACGCCGCGUGGAGGACGAAGGCCCUCGGGUCGUAAACUCCUGUCAGUGGGGACGAAAAAGCAGGGUCGAACAGGCUUUGCCAUUGACGGUACCCGCAGAGGAAGCCCCGGCUAACUCCGUGCCAGCAGCCGCGGUAAUACGGAGGGGGCUAGCGUUAUUCGGAAUUACUGGGCGUAAAGGGCGUGUAGGCGGCUUGAUAGGUCAAAGGUGAAAUCCCUCGGCUCAACCGAGGAACUGCCUUUGAAACCAUCUCGCUCGAGGCUGGGAGGGGGUAGCGGAAUUCCUGGUGUAGCGGUGAAAUGCGUAGAUAUCAGGAGGAACACCAGUGGCGAA
rnacentral:rRNA from 1 species